AUACGUAGGGUGCGAGCGUUAAUCGGAAUUACUGGGCGUAAAGCGUGCGCAGGCGGUUUUGUAAGACAGUGGUGAAAUCCCCGGGCUCAAACUGGGAACUGCCAUUGUGACUGCAAGGCUGGAGUGCGGCAGAGGGGGAUGGAAUUCCGCGUGUAGCAGGGAAAUGCGUAGAUAUGCGGAGGAACACCGAUGGCGAAGGCAAUCCCCUGGGCCUGCACUGACGCUCAUGCACGAAAGCGUGGGGAGCAAACAGGAUUAGAUACCCUGGUAGUCCACGCCCUAAACGAUGUCAACUGGUUGUUGGGAAUUUAUUUUCUCAGUAACGAAGCUAACGCGUGAAGUUGACCGCCUGGGGAGUACGGCCGCAAGGUUAAAACUCAAAUGAAUCGGCGGGG
rnacentral:rRNA from 1 species